rnacentral:sRNA from 1 species
GGCGAUAUGCUAUACUUUUUGGGACAGUAAAGUUGAAUGACGGUGGCGACUUCGAAAAAAGGUGGUGGUGCGUAUGGAGAUAAGUACUGAAAUCAAGGAAAGGAGAAGCCUUUUGUCUGUUGAAACAGCGUUAGGGCUAAUGAUUAGUUUCGGUUCAUUUACCGCUACUUUGAUCUUUGGUAUCCU